UACGGGGGGGGCAAGCGUUGUUCGGAAUUACUGGGCGUAAAGGGCUCGUAGGCGGCCAACUAAGUCAUACGUGAAAUCCCUCGGCUUAACCGGGGAACUGCGUCUGAUACUGGAUGGCUUGAGUUUGGGAGAGGGAUGCGGAAUUCCAGGUGUAGCGGUGAAAUGCGUAGAUAUCUGGAGGAAUACCGGUGGCGAAGGCGGCAUCCUGGACCGGCAUUGACGCUGAGGAGCGAAAGCCAGGGGAGCAAACGGG
rnacentral:rRNA from 1 species